ACGGGUGAGUAAUACAUCGGAACGUAUCCUGGAGUGGGGGAUAGCCCGGCGAAAGCCGGAUUAAUACCGCAUACGCUCUGAGGAGGAAAGCGGGGGACCUUCGGGCCUCGCGCUCAAGGGGCGGCCGAUGGCGGAUUAGGUAGUUGGUGGGGUAAAGGCCUACCAAGCCGACGAUCCGUAGCUGGUCUGAGAGGACGACCAGCCACACUGGGACUGAGACACGGCCCAGACUCCUACGGGAGGCAGCAGUGGGGAAUUUUGGACAAUGGGGGCAACCCUGAUCCAGCAAUGCCGCGUGUGUGAAGAAGGCCUUCGGGUUGUAAAGCACUUUUGUCCGGAAAGAAAUCAUCGGGGCCAAUACCCCUGGUGGAUGACGGUACCGGAAGAAUAAGCACCGGCUAACUACGUGCCAGCAGCCGCGGUAAUACGUAGGGUGCGAGCGUCAAUCGGAAUUACUGGGCGUAAAGCGUGCGCAGGCGGUGCUGUAAGACCGAUGUGAAAUCCCCGGGCUUAACCUGGGAACUGCAUUGGUGACUGCAGUGCUGGAGUAUGGCAGAGGGGGGUGGAAUUCCACGU
rnacentral:rRNA from 1 species